rnacentral:tRNA from 1 species
CCCUGCGGAGUCAGAGUGCCCAAGGUGCACACUGAUGCUGAUGCCACGGUAGCAUAUCCGGAUGUUGGCUGCAUCGGCCGCGCCUUCGACCCUGAUCGGGUCGCGGGUUCGAUUCCCGCGCUGACGUGAUUUGUUUGAGAAAAAGCGAGAGCCGCGAUGAGCUCAGCUGGUGCUGGGUGCGGGCUUCAAACCCGUAGGUGAGUUGCUCUCACAGCCGUUCGAUUCGGCCUUCGUGGCGUGCCAUUUUUCUUUUCGCUCCUAACGCACACCAUCACCACGUGCGUCGCUACGUAGGUGAAUCGCAGCCCUCCCCCUCCAACGGCCCAGGGGCAGAUAUAUCCGUUCCAGCAGCGGGUGAUGAUGCGCCAUAGCGACGUCGUCGAGGAUCGCCGGCUGUUGAUUGUCAGUCGUUUCUGUUCUCGCAGGACUUCAAAAAGUACGCGCUGCCGGUGUGAUACUGACUUGCCUCUCUCUCCAUGCUCGCUCAUCGCUGCCCUCCGCCUUUCGCCCCUUUUUCUCUGGCUGAGCACGUCUACAG